rnacentral:rRNA from 1 species
GACGAACGCUGGCGGCGUGCCUAAUACAUGCAAGUCGAACGCAGUGGGGACGGGUGAGUAACACGUGGGUAACCUCCCAUCAGAGGGGAUAACACUUGGAAACAGGUGCUAAACCGAUACUGAUGGAUGGACCCGCGGUGCAUUAGCUAGUUGGUGAGGUAACGGCUCACCAAGGCCACGAUGCAGAGCCGACCUGAGAGGUGGGUCGGGCACACUGGGACGGAGCCCCGGCCCAGACUCCUACGGUAGGCGGCAGUAGGGAAACCUCGGCAAUGGACGAAAGUCUGACCGGGCAACGCCGCGUGAGUGGAGAAGGUUUUCGGAUCGUAAAACUCUGUUGUUAGAGAAUCGGUAUCUAACCAGAAAGCCACGGCUAACUACGUGCCAGCCGCCGCGGUAAUUC